rnacentral:rRNA from 1 species
AGCUCCAAUAGCGUAUAUUAAAGUUGUUGCAGUUAAAAAGCUCGUAGUUGGAUUUCUGGAUCGAACGCUCUGUCCGCCGCUGUGCGGUGUGUACUAGAGUUUAGUUUCGAUUCAUCCUUGCAGGGAAGCGCGUUCGAGAUUCAUUUGUCGGCGCGGGGAACUGCAUCUUUUACUGUGAAAAAAUUAGAGUGUUUAAAGCAGGCAUUUUGCUGUGAAUACAUUAGCAUGGAAUAAUAACAUAGGACUUUGGUUCUAUUUUGUUGGUUGGAGGCCAAGGUAAUGAUUAAUAGGGACAGUUGGGGGUAUUCAUAUUUAAUUGUCAGAGGUGAAAUUCUUGGAUUUAUGAAAGAUGAACUCAUGCGAAAGCAUUUACCAAGGAUGUUUUCAUUAAUCAAGAACG